rnacentral:rRNA from 1 species
GAUGAACGCUGGCGGCGUGCUUAACACAUGCAAGUCGAACGGGAAACCUUUUAAUGAAGCUUCGGCAGAUUUAGCUGGUUUCUAGUGGCGGACGGGUGAGUAACGCGUGGGUAACCUGCCCUAUACAGGGGGAUAACAACCAGAAAUGGUUGCUAAUACCGCAUAAGCGCACAGGACCGCAUGGUCCGGUGUGAAAAACUCCGGUGGUAUAGGAUGGACCCGCGUUGGAUUAGCCAGUUGGCAGGGUAACGGCCUACCAAAGCGACGAUCCAUGGCGGGCCGGGGGGGGUGACCGGCAACAGGGGGACGGAAACACGGCCCAGCCUCCAGGGGGGGGCAGCGGGGGGGAAGAUUGCAAAAGGGGGGAAACCCGGAGGCGGCGCCGCAGCGGGAAGGAAGAAGUAUCUCGGUAUGUAAACUUCUAUCAGAAGGGAAGUUAGUGCCGGUACCUGACUAAGAAGCCCCGGCUAACUACGUCCCAGCCCCCGCAGUAA